rnacentral:misc_RNA from 1 species
GAACGCACAUUGCGCCCGCCAGUACUCUGGCGGGCAUGCCUGUUCGAGCGUCAUUUCAACCCUCAAGCCCCCCCGGCUUGGUGUUGGGGCCCUGCGGCUGCCGCAGGCCCCGAAAUCGAGUGGCGGGCUCGCGGCGAACUCCGAGCGUAGUAGAAUCCUAUCUCGCUAGGGAGGCGCGGCGCGCUCCGGCCGUUAAAGGAACUUCUUUUAACCCAAGGUUGACCUCGGAUCAGGUAGGAAUACCCGCUGAACUUAAG